GGUCAAGUUAGUAAGGGUCCACGGUGGAUGCCUUGGGGCCAAGAGCCGAAGAAGGGCGUGGCAAGACUGCGAAAAGCCCCGGUCAGCUGUCUAGCGAGCUUAACCGGGGAUUCCCGAAUGGGGAAACCCCCCUUGGGUCAAUCCAAGGGACCCCGAUUUAUCGGGGGGGUAAGCGGGUGAACUGAAACAACUAAGUAACCCGAGGAAAAUAAAUCAACCGAGAUUCCCAAAGUAGUGGCGAACGAAAUGGGAAUAGCCCAAACCUUCCGGGCUUAGUGGGCUGAGGCCCUAUGUCCGGAGGGGGUUGUAACACACACCUGUUCCAGCCUCAGGAGGAGCAAGGAGUAAGAAACUCGUUCCUUAGCCGAAUGAUCCUGGAAAGGACGACCGGAGAAGGUGAUAGUCCUGUACGCGAAAGGGAGCGAGCUCCUGGUGUGCUGUUGAGUACCACGGGACACGUGAAAUCUUGUGGGAAGCUGGGGAGACCACUCUCCAAGGCUAAAUA
rnacentral:rRNA from 1 species